rnacentral:rRNA from 1 species
GAUGAACGCUGGCGGCGUGCUUAACACAUGCAAGUCGAACGAAGCACUUUAUUUGAUUUCCUUCGGGACUGAUUAUUUUGUGACUGAGUGGCGGACGGGUGAGUAACGCGUGGGUAACCUGCCUUGUACAGGGGGAUAACAGUUGGAAACGGCUGCUAAUACCGCAUAAGCGCACAGCAUCGCAUGAUGCAGUGUGAAAAACUCCGGUGGUAUAAGAUGGACCCGCGUUGGAUUAGCUAGUUGGUGAGGUAACGGCCCACCAAGGCGACGAUCCAUAGCCGACCUGAGAGGGUGACCGGCCACAUUGGGACUGAGACACGGCCCAAACUCCUACGGGAGGCAGCAGUGGGGAAUAUUGCACAAUGGGCGAAAGCCUGAUGCAGCGACGCCGCGUGAGCGAAGAAGUAUUUCGGUAUGUAAAGCUCUAUCAGCAGGGAAGAUAAUGGCGGUACCUGACUAAGAAACACCGGCUAAAUACGU